GUGUGUGUUCGUGCCUCCCUGGGCUGUUCUGGGCAUGCGCAUACCCAGAACAGAGCAAGGGAGACACGACCGCCAGCACCCGGCGGCCAUCUUGGGCGGCCAGAAGCGGCCGUCCCAAAAAAGCCGGGUAUGCGGCGGCGGGGGAAACUGGCCGAGGUGGCGGCAAAGCCGCCGCCUCAGCCAGAGGACACGGCGCAGCCGAGGCCGCGGCAGAGCCAUGGCCGAGGCCUGGCCACGCCGCCAAAGCCGGGCGGGGGGAAGAGGCGGCGGGGGAAGCUGGCCGAGGUGGUGGCGGAGCCACAACCGAGGCCUGGCAGCGCCACCGGAGCCGGGCGGGGGGGUGAUUGGGGCCCUUGCCCGGCUGGGGAGACCGUCCGCGGCAUGGAGGCUGGCAGCGGCAGUGACAGUUGUUGGCUGCGGGGCCGGAUGCGGAGGCAAAUUUCACGCUCAGCUGUUCGACACAAGUCACAGUCAUGCUUGGCGCAGUAAGGGUUGGUGGUGCAGCACAGCGACCAAACCACCCAGGACAUAUUAUAGAAAAAUUGGGUGGCCCCAGAGGGUGUGGAGCCCCUGGACCUCUGCCCAGAAGUCCAGGGGUGUCUUGAUGCCGCCUAUUUUGUUUUGUUUUUUCUGUAUAUGCGUCCUUCACAGUCCUGGCACUUAAUAAACAUCCUGGUAUCAAUAAAAGUAAAAGAAAAUGA